AGGACGAACGCUGACGGCGUGCUUAAACACAUGCAAGUCGAGCGGAAAGGCCCUUCGGGGUACUCGAGCGGCGAACGGGUGAGUAACACGUGAGCAAUCUGCCCUUAGCUUCGGGAUAGCUCCGGGAAACCGGAAUUAAUACCGAAUACGACUACGGCCGACAUCGGCUGUGGUGGAAAAGUUUUUUCGGCUAGGGAUGAGCUCGCGGCCUAUCAGCUUGUUGGUGAGGUAACGGCUCACCAAGGCGACGACGGGUA
rnacentral:rRNA from 1 species